UACGAAGGGUGCAAGCGUUACUCGGAAUUACUGGGCGUAAAGCGUGCGUAGGUGGUGAGUUAAGUCUGUCGUGAAAGCCCCGGGCUCAACCUGGGAAUGGCGAUGGAUACUGGCUCGCUAGAGUGCGGUAGAGGGUGGUGGAAUUUCCUGUGUAGAGGUGAAAUUCGUAGAUAUCGGGAGGAACACCAGUGGCGAAGGCGGCGACCUGGGCCAAUAUUGACGCUGAGGUGCGAAAGCGUGGGGAGCAAACAGG
rnacentral:rRNA from 1 species